rnacentral:misc_RNA from 1 species
GUUUCUGGGCAUCAAUAUAUGUCACAAUUUGUUUUCAUAUAUCUUUAUCUUCAACAAUGCUUGAUGUAUCAAACAUGAACAUCACUGUUGUUGAAACCCUGUGUCGGCAAGCUCCUCCCUUGAGACACUGGGCCACGGAAUCAAGCUAUUAGGAGGGAAACAGCAGUCACACUCCGUCUUGCACCGUUGUAGUACAACCCCAGCUUCAGGCGGCAAAGGCUCAUCGGAUGAGUAAUAGCCGCUAUGCCGACCGGUGACAGCGUCCCUGAGCGCCCCCCAGCAUUCAACCUUGUUGAAUUUGGGGAUGUUCGAGUGGAAGUAGACCCACACCAUUGCCUCCUCUAGCUCCGGGUAGCUAGCAAACAAUUUUUUGUCUCCAUAAGCAAAUGCCAUCAACACCACUGGAAGUUCCUUGCAGAAGAUGUAGUAUCGGAGGUUGGCAAUAAGGUCGAGGAGGAAGUGCCCACCGCUGAUGUGACAAUGAACAUGAAGCGACAUGCUCCCCUGGAUCAUCCUCCAUUCCGCCACCACCUCAUCUCGCUGUAGCCGGUUGUACCACCCAUUCAGCUGAGCUUGGUUGAUGGUGUUGGAGAUGGCGAGGGUGAUCUUUGAAGUGAUGUCGCUGUGUGUGAGAGUAUACGCCCUCGGGAGGCUGAGGCUACCCUUGUGCUUCUCCUCGUCGAUCCCGACAUGCAACACCUUCAGCUUGGCUGCCUCGAAGAUUGCCGGACCGAACAGCCUCGCAGUCGGGCUGGUGCAUCGUUUCCUCGAGAGAGGCCGCCUCUGUUGGUUGAUUUGGGUGAGCUGCAGAGACAGAGAAGCUGUGAGAGCCAUGGGCAAUGGAUUCCGAGAUGUUUGGAGGGUUUGCUGAAAUGUCUAAUGGGAGACUUGAGAGGUAGCCGUUCAUAUACGGCUCCUUUAUGUGUUACAUUUUACAUAACUU